rnacentral:tRNA from 1 species
GCCGUGGCCUACUGGUUAGAGCUUCGGACUUAUAACCGGGGGGUUGCCGGUUCGAACCCGACCAGUAGGCA